GCUGAGGGUGCUGAGGGUGCUGAUGUCACGCAGCUGGAGUUUGACGUCAGCGUGACAGCGCUGAACGCCGCUGCUGCUGACAAAGCUACGCUGGCGGUCACCAGGGACGUCAGCAUCGUUGUACAAACUUUAACGGACCCGGACGCAAUCUACUACGGCACAGCGACGUCGGCCGCCCUCCAGGCUUUAGACUUCGUUGCUAAGGUGCAAAACAACGGCGUAACGAGGUCCGUGAGUGUGCAGCUGCAGCUUCAGGUUCCUGCAGCUGCUGGCGGUCACCUGCUGCUGGUCGGCACUCAGGUGCAGCUGAGCAGCGGCGGGCGUAGCGGCGCAUGCGCAGUGGAGGCGCUGCCGCAGGGAGAAGAUGUGAUCCAAGAUGGCGGCGGCGGUGAUGGUGGUGAUGGCGUGGUGUUACGGUGUGGUGAUGUCACGACGAGUUGUGUUUUGGUCACAUGCGUGUUACCUGCGCUACAAGAUGAAGUAAUAACGCUGACGUCAUUGGUUAACACAACCGCA
rnacentral:lncRNA from 1 species